rnacentral:rRNA from 1 species
ACACUCCUACGGGAGGCAGCAGUGGGGAAUAUUGCACAAUGGGCGCAAGCCUGAUGCAGCCAUGCCGCGUGUAUGAAGAAGGCCUUCGGGUUGUAAAGUACUUUCAGCGGGGAGGAAGGCGAUAAGGUUAAUAACCUUGUCGAUUGACGUUACCCGCAGAAGAAGCACCGGCUAACUCCGUGCCAGCAGCCGCGGUAAUACGGAGGGUGCAAGCGUUAAUCGGAAUUACUGGGCGUAAAGCGCACGCAGGCGGUCUGUCAAGUCGGAUGUGAAAUCCCCGGGCUCAACCUGGGAACUGCAUUCGAAACUGGCAGGCUAGAGUCUUGUAGAGGGGGGUAGAAUUCCAGGUGUAGCGGUGAAAUGCGUAGAGAUCUGGAGGAAUACCGGUGGCGAAGGCGGCCCCCUGGACAAAGACUGACGCUCAGGUGCGAAAGCGUGGGGAGCAAACAGGAUUAGAAACCCUAGUAGUCC